ensembl:Mt_tRNA
GUUCCUGUAGUUGAAUUUACAACGAUGGUUUUUCAAGUCGUUAGUCCUGGUUAAAGUCCUGGUAGGAAUU